rnacentral:misc_RNA from 1 species
GAUGAAGAACGUAGCGAAAUGCGAUAAGUAGUGUGAAUUGCAGAAUUCAGUGAAUCAUCGAAUCUUUGAACGCACAUUGCGCCUCCUGGUAUUCCGGGAGGCAUGCCUGUUCGAGCGUCAUCAAAAACCUCAACCCAUGAUUUAUUGUGAGUUGGUUCUGCAUUGGACUCCUUGUGGGUCCUUUGCGAAAUCCAAUGGCGAAGAGCCACGCAACCAAAGCGUAGUAUAACUAUUUCGUUAUGGAAGCGUGGGUGCCUCUGCCGUAACCCCCAAUUUCUUAGUUUUUGUCCUCGGAUCAGGUAGGGAUACCCGCUGAACUUAAGCAUAUCAAUAAGCGGAGGA